rnacentral:rRNA from 1 species
UACGAAGGGGGCUAGCGUUGCUCGGAAUGACUGGGCGUAAAGAGCUCGUAGGCGGUCUGUCACGUCGGCUGUGAAAUCCCGAGGCUCAACCUCGGGUCUGCAGUCGAUACGGGCAAACUAGAGUAUUGCAGGGGAGACUGGAAUUCCUGGUGUAGCGGUGAAAUGCGCAGAUAUCAGGAGGAACACCGGUGGCGAAGGCGGGUCUCUGGGCAAUAACUGACGCUGAGGAGCGAAAGCGUGGGGAGCGAACAGG